CGUGUAGGCGGCCUUCCAAGUCCGAUGUGAAAGCUCGGGGCUCAACCCCGAGUCUGCAUUGGAAACUGGUUGGCUUGAGUCCGGAAGAGGAGACUGGAAUUCCUGGUGUAGCGGUGAAAUGCGCAGAUAUCAGGAAGAACACCGGUGGCGAAGGCGGGUCUCUGGGACGGUACUGACGCUGAGACGCGAAAGCGUGGGGAGCAAACA
rnacentral:rRNA from 1 species